GUUUAGUUGAUGAUAUUCCUGUGUUGGGAGGAGAAGUUGUCAUAAAAGAGGGUAUGUACAUGUAUAGGGAAAAAUUAUACUUCUUGUCAUAGGAUAUGACUUUCAAAUAGAUGGCACACCAAAUAGGAUUCAUGUAAAGAAAGUAAUUAGAAUUAUAUUAUGUCUUAUUUACUUGCAUACUUUUUACAACACUUCUAAGGAAUCACCAAAGAGUUAUUCAGCUUUCUCGUCUCCUUUUUCGGCUACAAAUACUACUUCAACCGUUGAAGACAAACUCUAUAAAAUUGAAAGGAAGGUGGAUAUAAUUUUGAAGUACAUUAAACAAACA